UACGAAAGGUGCAAGCGUUACUCGGAAUCACUGGGCGUAAAGCGCACGUAGGCGGACUCGUAGGUCAAUUGUGAAAUACCUGGGCUCAACCCGGGAACUGCAGUUGAAACCGCUUGUCUUGAAUACCUGGGAGGGUGGGGGAAUACCUGGUGGAGAAGUGAAAUUCGUAGAGAUCAGGUGGAACACCGGAGGCGAAGGCGCCUGCCUGGCAGUGUAUUGACGCUGAGGUGCGAAAGUGCGGGGAGCAAACAGG
rnacentral:rRNA from 1 species